rnacentral:lncRNA from 1 species
AGAAGUAUGCCAAAUGUGGGAUUUCGUAGAACAAAAAUGUGAAAACAUUUUAGUUCCCUGUGGAGACAGCUGCCUCAGUUUGGGAAACUUGGAGCAUCCAUUCCUGAGGUGUCUGAGCUCUGAGCAAAUUCCACAGAGGCAGGUACUGCUGGCCGUCUUACACCCACUAAUGCAUAUCCAGUAUAUACUGCCAACCACGAAGAAACUGCUCGACAGGACAUGGUGUGAAUAAGAGAAAUAAUGCAUGAAUUAAUAGGGAGAAGGGGAGACUCAUUAAGACCCAGCAGACAGAAUGCCAAGACAAGGGAUCCGUAAACUCAGAACUUUUUGGAUAAGCCCUCUGGAUUCACAGAUUAAAGAAGAGGUGGAAGUGUGCUUUUAAAUUAAUAAGCAAUUCUGACCUUUAAGUAUCAAAGAGGAAAGACGAAGCUGGCAGCUGUUUCCGGUCCUCUGUCUCACCCACUCGGCCUUCUGGGAGCUCUACUAGCCGAGAACGCGUGUUCCACUACUGCAACUUUUAGAUGGGAACUCAGCAAACCAGACGCUCAGACUCGGACUUCACCAUGGGAAUCUUUUAAACACAGUCACUGUGAGGAUGGCAGCAGACACGUGAGAAGGCUCUGGGUGUUUCUGUUAGUGUAAUCCAAGUACACAAGAUGGAAAUACCAAUGACCAACCACAGGGGAAUGCCUAUUUCUAAUUUCCUGAUUUUCACUUAGUUUUAAAUUAUUCAAGAAAUGUUAAUAUGUAACCUAAGUAUUCUUUCCGAAUUAGCCUCCAUUUGAUUGAUGCUUUCCAUUAUUUAAAAUACUA